GCGUCAGUACUGCAACGGGUUAGAGCACGCGUUCCUGAAUUGAGUGAGAUGUGGGUUCGAGUUCCGCCUGACGCG